rnacentral:tRNA from 1 species
GCGGGUAUAACUCAAUUGGUUAGAGUGUUAGGUUGUGGUUCUAAAAGUUACAGGUUCAAGUCCUGUUACUCGCCUCUUA